rfam:Brugia malayi, FR3, WGS project CAPY01000000 data, contig: ctg1510323
AUUUGUGACAAUGCCACGUUGAAAGCACGACAUCUCGUCGGGUCUGUCAAGUUAAGCAACGUUGGGCCUUGGUUAGUACUUGGAUCGGAGACGGCCUGGGAAUCCCAGAUGUUGUAGACA